rnacentral:rRNA from 1 species
AGAGCGGCGGACGGGUGAGUAACACGUGGACAAUCCGUGCCCCCCGGCCCGGGAUAGCCCAGGGAAACCUGGAUUAAUACCGGAUGAGACGGGACCCGCGAUGGCGGGACCCGGAAAGGCGCUGCGGCGCCGCCGGGGGAUGAGUCUGCGUCCCAUUAGCUAGACGGCGGGGUAACGGCCCACCGUGGCGACGAUGGGUAGCCGGCCUGAGAGGGUGGACGGCCACAUUGGAACUGAGACACGGUCCAGACUCCUACGGGAGGCAGCAGCUAAGAUCUUCCGCAAUGGGCGAAAGCCUGACGGAGCGACGCCCGCGUGAACGAAGAAGGCCGUGAGGUUGUAAAGUUCUUUUCGGGAGGGGGAACAACCGUGGCAGGGAAUGGCCGCGGGAUGACGUGAAUCCCGGAAUAAGCCCCGGCUAACUACGUGCCAGCCGCUGC